rnacentral:lncRNA from 1 species
AGCAUGUGAGUAGGAAGCAGCCCUAUUUUAAAUAGCGCCCUGGAGACUUGAAUUGGGAAGAGGACCAAGAAGAGUGUGAGGCAGUGAGAUGCCCAGCACCAGGGUGGGAGAGGCGAGUUCCAGUGACUCGUGGGCACUCAGGAGCGGGGAUGACCCCAGAGACACAGGGAGCUUGGAACCAUGCUUCUGUAUUCAGACAUGACUUUCUGCCAGCUUUGCACGCUUUUUCCUGAAACAUUGUUGGCAGAGGGGAACUUG